AUACGCUUAGCCUUUGGACCAGAAACCCUGUUGCAUAAUAUUAUCCUCCAGGCCAAAACCCACUUGGGUCUUACCUCUAAUACACCUUCAACACCUUCCACACCCUCUUCUCCUUCACCUUUUAAUCCCACUUCUAGACCCAACCCCUUGUCCAUUUCUUCCUCAAGAAUCACUUUCAAUAAUGGCUUUGACAUCACAAACCCAUCUUC
rnacentral:misc_RNA from 1 species